rnacentral:rRNA from 1 species
UACGAAGGGGGCUAGCGUUGUUCGGAAUUACUGGGCGUAAAGCGCGCGUAGGCGGUUUUGCAAGCCAGAGGUGAAAUGCCUGAGCUCAACUUAGGAAUUGCCUUUGGGACUGCGAGGCUUUGAGGACUGGAGAGGUGAGUGGAAUUCCCAGUGUAGAGGUGAAAUUCGUAGAUAUCGUGAGGAACACCAGAGGCGAAGGCGGCUACCUGGACAAUUGCUGACGCUCAGGCACGAAAGCGUGGGGAGCAAAAGGG